GAUGAACGCUGGCGGCGUGCUUAACACAUGCAAGUCGAACGGUGAAGGCGGAGCUUGCUCUGCUGGAUCAGUGGCGAACGGGUGAGUAACACGUGAGCAAUCUGCCCCUGACUCUGGGAUAAGCGCUGGAAACGGCGGCUAAUACUGGAUACGAGCUGCGACGGCAUCUUCAGCAGCUGGAAAGAACUUCGGUCGGGGAUGGGCUCGCGGCCUAUCAGCUUGUUGGUGGGGUAGCGGCUCACCAAGGCGUCGACGGGUAGCCGGCCUGAGAGGGUGACCGGCCACACUGGGACUGAGACACGGCCCAGACUCCUACGGGAGGCAGCAGUGGGGAAUAUUGCACAAUGGGCGAAAGCCUGAUGCAGCAACGCCGCGUGAGGGACGACGGCCUUCGGGUUGUAAACCGCUUUUGGCAGGGAAGAAGCGAAAGUGACGGUACCUGCAGAAAAAGCACCGGCUAACUACGUG
rnacentral:rRNA from 1 species